rnacentral:tRNA from 1 species
GUUGGCGUAGCUAACUAAAGUCAUC